rnacentral:lncRNA from 1 species
GCUUCUUGUUAAAGUUCUAUCUUAACUUGACUUUUUCUUUACUUUUUUUCCAGACUUCAAACUAAAAAGUCCCCCAGCUGAAUUAUGCCCCUUCGUCAUGGAAUUCACACCCCACCCCCUCCACUGACGCAAACUUUGGAGAGCAGCUCCAUGGAGGAUAACUUAAGUGCUGCCUGCAGACCUAAGUCUAUGGGUCCUACAAAGGCAAAGAAUCUUUUCAAACUUGACAGAAGUUGGAUGAUGUCAAUGAAUGUGCAAAUAUGCCUGAUGCUAUGGAACUAGUCCAAAGGCCAUUAAAAUCAACUGCAAUCUUUCCACUGACUUGUGUGUAUUCUGCCUCACCUCCUUGGGGUGAAAUACUGUCAGUGAAAUGAGAUCAAGAGUGGUGCAUGAUGCCAAUUUUCAAAAUUUUAUUGCCAGCAGAGAAAUGUUUCUUGAAGAACUGUUGGGUUUUGCCAUCUGCGUUCUCAGUCCUGAAGAUAGUUUUCUUACACUUCAUCACUGCACAAGAAGUUCAAACCCUGGAUUUAAAAGAAAAGACAUGUCAUAAACUUCAAGCUCCCAGAUUUUCUGGCAUCCAUGGACUCUUCUGUCUGCACAGCAGAGGAAUUGCACUGGUUCUGGAGGAGUUGUUACAGAUGUACACUGGCACGAGUGGAAAGAAGGAAGUUGCUUGGGAGUUCUACCCAUAUAGGAAUUAA